rnacentral:rRNA from 1 species
UACGGAGGGGGCUAGCGUUGUUCGGAAUUACUGGGCGUAAAGCGCACGUAGGCGGCUUUGUAAGUUAGAGGUGAAAGCCCAGGGCUCAACCCUGGAAUUGCCUUUAAGACUGCAUCGCUUGAACAUCGGAGAGGUAAGUGGAAUUCCGAGUGUAGAGGUGAAAUUCGUAGAUAUUCGGAAGAACACCAGUGGCGAAGGCGACUUACUGGACGAUUUGU